rnacentral:lncRNA from 1 species
GUUAUGAGACGAUCCCCGUAUUUAUUUACUUUCAUUGAACCGAGUGUUGUUUUUACUCGUAUGUACAUUUUUUGAUUGUGUCAUGUGAACUUACUUAUCUGUACAGUUUCCUCAAGUCAUUUCGGUAUAGGGAAUUACAAGUUUUAUGUCAGAACAUUUUGUUAAACUUCAUAACUUGUCGAAAUUCGUUGACAGACAAGCACCUGGUUUCCUUUCAGCGCCAUCUUCAGUUAACGGUACUGAAGCGUUUUCAUUGGUCGAACGAUUACGGAAGGUCACGAGUAUUCUUAGCUU